CCCAAAAUAAACCCAGCUCUUUCUCAUCUCUAGACCUUCGACGAGCUGAACAAUUGAAAAUGAACAAAAACCCCAAACUCCAACCGUGAACAACUACAAGAAGAAGAAGAAGAGCCCCAAAAUGACGAAGAUGCCCCUUUUCUCUCUACCUUCUUCUUCACACCCAAAUUAAUCACCAUAACUACCACUGAGCUCUCUCUCCAUACCCAACCACCAAUCCCAUUGCAAUCAACACCAAGCCUAAAUGCCUUCAUAUCUUCAUGAAAUUACCAUUUACAUUCUCAGGAAACCCACUUCAUCACUUUAGAUUUACUAGGCCUGAUCUGGAAAUACAUAGUGGAGCAUGAACAACUCUUUCAUUCUUACGAUACUCUGCUCGUCAGCUAACUUCGGCGGCUAAAAACUCCAUCUUCUGUCGCUCAGAUAGUCACGACUUCUACAUAAAAGUUGUUCAAAAUCGAGUCUUCUACACUGUAUUCAAAUUUCAUGAAAAUCCAACGGUUGAAUCUUCCAAAAUCAAGGUUGUAGCCAUCAAGGAGAGAGAGAGGCAAAAGGAGAACAUAUGCAAUCUAGGUACCUCGCCCCGCCCAGCCCAACACCAACGCCGCCCAAGCCGCCCAGCACCGCCGAAACCCGCCUAUCUGUUCUGGGUAUUUGAGUUUUUGGUAAGGUUUUGCUGAGUGAAGUGUUUUGAUUCAAAAUCUCAUUUGGGUAUUUGAGUUUUUGUGAGGUUUUCUAUCAAGAUCGAAUUUUUGGGUUUAUGUUAGUUUUGGGGCACACAUUUUGAUUGGAAUUGGGUUUGGUGUGGUUUGGAAUGAAGAAAGUGAUGGAACUGUACUCGAUUGAGCUCACCAAGUUGUGAAUCGAAAAAAUUGAAUUGAAUUAGGUGAGGUUGGUAUUUGGUAUUUGUGAUUAUAUGGAAAGUGUUGAUGUAAUGAAAGUUGCAUACUUGCAUGCAAGUAAUUAUAGUUCUUAAUCAUCAGACAUGGUUUUGUAGCAGUUAACGAAAUUCGGGAUCUAGUGAUGAUUCUGGUCAUGGGUAUGCAUAUUCUCGGUCUAGCGAGAAGAUGAUGGAGGAUGAGAGCUUCCGGAUAAUAGAGGGACUUUAACCAGACGGAGAUAAACAGAGGAGGGGAGAGAUGUGGAAGAAGAAGAGGCAAAAAGAAAAAAAAGAAUAAAAUUAAUUUAAAAAAAAGAGUAAGGGAGGGU
rnacentral:lncRNA from 1 species